UCCGAGUUGACCCCGGCAGUCUCCUAUGAGUCCCCGGCCGAACCGCUGGCAACAUAGGACGAGGGUUGCGCUCGUUGCGGGACUUAACCCAACAUCUCACGACACGAGCUGACGACAACCAUGCACCACCUGUACAGGGCCCUUGCGGACCUGACAUCUCUGCCAGUUUUCCCUGUAUGUCAAGCCUUGGUAAGGUUCUUCGCGUCGCGUCGAAUUAAGCCACAUGCUCCGCCGCUUGUGCGGGCCCCCGUCAAUUCCUUUGAGUUUUAGCCUUGCGGCCGUACUCCCCAGGCGGGGCACUUAGUGCGUUAGCUACGGCACGGAACCCGUUGAUAAGGCCCCACACCUAGUGCCCAACGUUUACGGCGUGGACUAC
rnacentral:misc_RNA from 1 species